GUAAGUUUAUAGAUAAUCACAAACUGCCUUGAAGUUUUCAUGACAGUUUGAGAGCACGAUAAUUGUCCGAUAUUUUUCAAAUAUAAAAAAUUAUAAUGAAUUCAUUUGCGCCACAAUUAUAUGCGGUCAUGCUUCUUCUGCGCAAAUGCUUCUCGUAUGUCACUUCAUUUUGAAAACAAUAGUUUUUUUUUUGAGCCAAUUAAACAAAGAUACAGG
rnacentral:lncRNA from 1 species